rnacentral:rRNA from 1 species
AACGAACGCUGGCGGUGGGCUUAACACAUGCAAGUCGAACGCCCCGCAAGGGGAGUGGCAGACGGGUGAGUAACACGUGGGAACAUGCCCAAAGGUACGGAAUAUCCUCGGGAAACUGGGAGCAAUACCGUAUGUGCCCGAAAGGGGAAAGAUCUAUCGCCUUUGGAUUGGCCCGCGUUGGAUUAGCUAGUUGGUGGGGUAAAAGCCUACCAAGGCGACGAUCCAUAGCUGGUCUGAGAGGACGACCAGCCACACUGGGACUGAGACACGGCCCAGACUCCUACGGGAGGCAGCAGUGGGGAAUCUUGGACAAUGGGCGCAAGCCUGAUCCAGCCAUGCCGCGUGAGUGAUGAAGGCCUUAGGGUUGUAAAACUCUUUCGUCGGGGACGAUAAUGACGGUACCCGAAGAAGAAGCCCCGGCUAACUUCGUGCCAGCCGCCGCCGUAA